rnacentral:rRNA from 1 species
ACUCCUACGGGAGGCAGCAGUAGGGAAUCUUCCACAAUGGACGAAAGUCUGAUGGAGCAACGCCGCGUGAGUGAAGAAGGGUUUCGGCUCGUAAAACUCUGUUGUUAAAGAAGAACAUAUCUGAGAGUAACUGUUCAGGUAUUGACGGUAUUUAACCAGAAAGCCACGGCUAACUACGUGCCAGCAGCCGCGGUAAUACGUAGGUGGCAAGUGUUGUCCGGAUUUAUUGGGGCGUAAAGCGAGCGCAGGCGGUUUUUAAGUCUGAUGUGAAAGCCUUCGGCUCAACCGAAGAAGUGCAUCGGAAACUGGGAAACUUGAGUGCAGAAGAGGACAGUGGAACUCCAUGUGUAGCGGUGAAAUGCGUAGAUAUAUGGAAGAACACCAGUGGCGAAGGCGGCUGUCUGGUCUGUAACUGACGCUGAGGCUCGAAAGUAUGGGUAGCAAACAGGAUUAGAUACCCUGGUAGGAUAGCG